rnacentral:tRNA from 1 species
AGGCGCGUAGCUCAGUCGGGAGAGCGCCGGCCCGACACGCCGGAGGUCAGGGGUUCGAGUCCCCUCGCGCCUACCA